AAGUAUCCGAGAAUUAAUUAACAUCAUAUAUAACGUUUAAAUCAUUUUUAAUAGUGUUACCUUGAACAUUUCAUAACGUAUUCACAACAAAAAAUAAAUACCACUAGAUACUACUCUUACAAAACCGACGCAAAGGCUUGGAAAACAACGGGGCUCAAUAGGGCCAGAUUCACAUAUCCUCACCGUUUUGUUCCUACUAUCAACAUAUAAGAUAAAAGCUUUAAACCCGUAACAAAAUUAGUUCGGUUUUUACUAACAUUCACUAGUCGCUAGGAUGUAAUUCGUUCGAAUCAACUGUUAUACUUCUACAUGUCAUCAAAUGGUUCGUGCUUACAAUUUAUUUUGAUCAUCGGCUGAUAAAUAGAGUGACAAAUAUGUGUGUUUUUGUGGAUUCUACGUUCAAAAUAUAGAAAAUAUUGCACUACAUUAACAGAUAUACCUUUAGGUUCUAUACAAUUCAUAUAAAUAAUGGUAACCUAUCUAUCUACAAAAUGUGCUCCGUGGUUCCGUUGCAACUUGUGUUCGCGGUUUUCGCCGGAAGGGAAGCUCAGUAAUGCGCAUUUGUUCGCUAAAGUUUCCCCCCAGUAGAGUUCAUCUACUACAUAGUUCGAUGUGAAUGUUUACUUCCCCUAUUUUCUUCCCAAACCAAAAGAAACCUUGUCCCGUUGCGGGAAGCGGAAAAUCUUACAUUUUAUUUCACUUCCACUGUUAAUUCACCAUUUCAUUUGAUUCCAUUUUUCGUCUGCCUAAUUCAGCCUAAAAUCACUUUAUCGUCACUUUAAAAGACUUGCGUAGCGGGAGCUGCACGGAUGGCCCCAUCCUGGCCGAGUGGUUAUGCCGAAAGGUAUAAAAAGGUAUACAGUCGAUUUAUUUUCUAUACACGGUUACCUGCAAAAAAGGUGGUCGUCGGUCGGUGAUGUUGGGGGUGAACGCGAUGCCGUGAAAUGGCGGGUAAUGACAGGACCAGAACGGUAUAUUUACAAAGUAAUGAUGAAGACUUUUUAGGAGACUACCUGAUGGACGCGCUUUUGUGCUCUUUGUACAUUCGGACGACACUGGCUGAAUGAAUGAGGAAGUUGAAUGCAUAAAUAAAUCCUGCUUUUUUGUGAGGAAAAAAUGACUGCGUUCCGGGCGGGAGCUAUAACUUUGAUUACUUCUACUUUGCUACAAAAAUGGGGCUGGACUGAGUCACGAAAGCAGACCAUUACUUUCAGUUAUGAUGAUAUCAUUAUUAUGGCUGAGAUCUUCGGUGAAUUUACAACACGCUGUGAUAAAUUUUGCAGUAUCAAGGAGAUGGUUUCAAUAUAAAAACAAACAUAAAAUACGAUUUUUUCUGUUGCUCAUUGUUUCUGAUUGAAAGCAAUUGCAAUUAACUUUCAAUUUUUUUUUUUUUCUAACGAGAUUUUUAGGCCGAUGCCAAGUCUAACUCUUCCUUUUUGUUUAUCAGAUUCAAUUAAAACCUAAACGGUUAUACAUUACGAGUUUACACAGCGUAUGUACUGAUGUAUUCUUGCCUUUGCUGAUCUUCAAUCGAUGCUAACUUGGAUUUAUCGCUGUUGUACUUUUUUGAACAGAAACCGCGUCUAUUGUUCGGUUUAUUUGCAACAAACUAUCCCAUACGGACGCGUUCAAUCAAGUCAUCAUUCAUCAAGAUGCUCCAGUUUUAUAGAACGCUUUAAAAGCACACAUCCAACUUUUAGGAUAUCUGCUUGAGCAUAUUGCCGAAUGGGGAUAAAGACCACCAAACCAAUGGGAAAUCACCGCAGAAGAAAAACGGAACUCGAAGGCGUAUUCUACGACAUGUUGAUUCUCGAACUGAUGCAGAAUGAUUUUGAAAAUAUCUGUCUAUGUCUGAACUCUACUUAAACCUCUUCAACUUAGCGAACUGAGCGGAUCUAUCAAAGAGUCCGCAAUCAUCUCCUCCGAUGCACAAUACUACGUACAGCUUUAUGAUGCCUGCUGCACAAAGUUCUCUGGCUUAGUGAAACCGUGAAACUAUGUAGCGAUAUGGUUAGAUCGCCGUUUGAUCCAGCAGAACUAACUACAGACAACUUUCAUUUUCUUCGUGGAUCGUGCUUCGCGCUUAGCUCCUCCAGUACAUCUCGCAACCACAAACGUCGUGUACAGCUUUAGAUGAGGCCACGUAUUCCACCUUCAUGAAGUUACGCAGCAUUGUUUUCGGCUAGUCCAGCAUUAGCUGAUUCUUCCUACGCGGAAUAGGUUCCCAACUAACAAUUGCAAGUCACAAACAAGCAAGCUUGCUGAAUUGUUGCUUGUAACGAUGGUUUUGUUCCUUUUUUAAAAGAAAUUGUCUUUUAUAUUUUUUAAUGCCCUUAAAAUAUGUUACAACAAAGAUAACACUUUUCUUAGCGUAUUUACGCAUAUGUCUGCAAGUUUUUAAAAGCUUUUAUUUAGCUAUGCGCCACCUAUGAACAAUCCGAGGUACCUGUGAUUCAAAAAGGCAUGAAGAAAAUUAUAACAUUUAAAACUUGUGCAGGUCUACAUUUAGGCGCAUCAGCUUGCUGCUCGAAUUCCUAUGAAAAUGGAAAAUUCCGUCCAGAAAUUGCGCAGUAGAGAAAAAUUUGAACUGAUUAAAGAGCUAAAUUCUCAAUAAUCCAUUUUCCAAUCCGCGUAUACUUUGUUAGCUCUCAGUACAUGAUCGUAUGGGAAAUUGCGUCGUAAGUUGAAAUAACUAAUCAACCCAAACGCGAUCGACCAUCAUUUCUGGUGGAGUUCUCAAACAGUCAAGAUCAAAAUCAAAAAGUGGUGAAUUUAUCAUAAUCGAUAUUUGCUAUCGAUAAAUAAUUCUAGCAGUUUAAAACUAAACUCGAAUUCUUUUUUUGAGUUAUAUUAGCUUUUUCUAGUGAGAAGGAUCUUAGUCUCAGUGCCUGUCUGUGAGACUAGAAUAAGGCCAAGCCCAACCAACGAGGGCGGUUAGUGUGGGCCGCGUCGGACUAGUGUUGGCCAGUUCAUGUCCGCAUUGGCCAUCGUGGGUCAUUUUGGAUCCGUUUCGCCCGGUUAAGAGUCGGUCUGAAGUUCGUCUGUGAAGACCGAGGACGUUGGGAGACCAAACCCAUCGUUCGACCACGUGGGCAACCGUGAAACUGGACUCAGGCCUCCAGAGCGCCCUUCGAGCCACCGCCAAACUACGUUUGGACAUUUUUUCCGAACUGCUCGAUCAGAAGUCGAAUCCCACAAGCAAGGUGCUUGAGUGUCUAUUUCUGGUAAGUCGCCGAAUCGGAAUCCCGUCUAGCCAAACCUGUGCGAUCAGAGCCUCGUCAACUGGCUCGGUACUCCACCGUUUCCGGGGACAUCUCUACCCCGACGAUUUCGCACAUCCGGGACUGAUUCGACCUUCGGAAUCCGCCUCGCACCUCAGAAUCGGUACUCGACGUGGGAUUAGCUGUGGUGAGUAGACUGCCAGCUCGUAGCUACGUUGGACUUCGUGGGACCUAGGCCCGCCGAACAAGGUCAGACUUUUUUUUUUAUUGUGCACGAAGAAUAAUUUUUCCCUAGGGGAAGCUUACCUAAAAUAGAAUAUCCAAUUAGAUCCUUUGGUGACGUCACAAAUAGAAAUGCGCAAUACUGAAUAAAGUCAAACAGUUUUGAUCAUUAGUUGAACCUUGUAAAACUCAAAACAAGACUGCUUUUCUAGUUUUCAAUAAAAUUUCGUAAAUUGAUUAUCAUUUCCUACUUCUAGUUUAGUUGAACUGUUUCUUUUUUCCGCGCGCUAAGUUUUGUGACCCAUAUUGAGUUGAUUUUUAGUUUAGCCGAGACACACUCCUUGAUCGAUCGUGUGAUUGAGGCGUAUUGAGUUAGUGUGGUUUGAAAUUGGAUUGAUUUAGCUUCGGUUGGUUCGUUCAAAUUGUAGUUUUAGCAUUCUGGAAACACUAUAACCUGCCCUGAGGCAAGUAAUCUCAUGCCGGGAUUGUAUCUCAGCCUACGGCCCUUCUAAUUUAGAAGGUGGCGCUUAAGCCGCAGACUGUUGUAACAGACUAAAACGUUACAUGCUUAAUAAUUGUAAUGAUAGCUGAACUAAAAUUAUGCUCUACACAUUACAGUUUAAAUGAUUUUUCAAUUGAGAAAGUAGUCAAUGUUCGACUUUCCUCAUCGGUAUCAACAAUGAUAAAUUAAAACACUUUUUAAACGUUCAACAAGAAAUUUAUUCGACAAGCAUUGAUUCCUUAACAAAGGAGUUCAACAAAACAUUUGUCUGCAUCUUAUUAAGCUGAUGUAUCGAUAAGCAUAUGCUUCUGAACAAUGUGCUUUUCACUUUUGACUAUGGAUUAUGGGAUAAAUCAUGGCUAAAACUGUUUAGACAACCAAGUUAUUAAAGAACCAAUAUUUUAAACGAAUCACAUAAAACAAAACAGAAUAGAAUUAUGUAGUUUAACAUUGAGUGCCAAAAGAUGUAAUCAACGUAAAAAUGAGGCAUGUAACGAGAUAUCUUGUACCUUGAUUAUUAUAUUUUUUAUCUUCCGCAGCAGUUCGAUUGUAGGAGACACUUGGAUCGAUGCAUUUGACACUUCAGUGCUGUUGUGUUUACUGAAUAUUGUUCCCACAGCCACCUAGAUAACCAAACAGCAUUCAGAAAUCGACACAUUUCAAGUAUCCUUUAAACAUCCAUAUGCACUAUUUAUUGAACAUAACAUCAAGAUUCCAUGACAAAAGAAGAAAUAAAAAAAAUGCUCAACGGAUUUUCGACUGAGCAUGAGAAGAUUACCUGAACAAAUGCUCUGAAUGCACCAUGUCCAAGACCAUACCGCACCACAUAUUGUCAUACAUUUUUAAAGAUCGAUAUUUAAAAAUAAAAAUAUAAACAUAUUCAUAUCGCAAUUAGUACGUCUGGAAACAAUAUCUUCAAUGAGGAUCAAAACUUUUUGGCCGCAUUCGAUACAAGUUUUCUCACCAUGCGAUAAAAAUACUGACAGCGAAAUCAGAAUGGAAAACACGUGUUUUGGGCUGAACAGCUGUUAAAGUAUAAGGCGUUGUUCAGUUGCUUACCGCGUGCUGUGCUAAUUCACCACUGCUGAACACAAGUUCAGGAGUGAUCAUUAUUGAGUCAUGGGAAGAUUAUGUUUUGCUUUGGGUGCUGCAUUUCACCAUCUCACCAUAGGAUGGCGCAGAUAGGGAGGCAUGCGGCUGGCAAUCGACAGGUUUCGAGUUCUAAUCCGGAUUUAGGUAAUUUUAUAUGUAAUUCUUAUUUCAUAAUAGGUGUUCUCAUAAUAAUAGUAAUAAUUACUCGUGAGAGUUCAACAUUUUUGCAUUUUAUUUAUUUUCAGUCAUUUUUGCCAAAGCUUAAUAACAACUUUCCUGUACAUUUGUAAAACGCUUUGAACAACAAAAAAUUAAGUUGGUGCACAAACAUGAUGCUUUAUAACUUCUCCAAAUUUGUGUGAACAAAACCCGAACAUAGGUUGUACGUGAAAAUAAUUCAAAUGUUAUUCAACAUUAUGUUGAAUUAAUUCGUCAUAAUGGUGUUUGUUAAAUGAGUGAUUGUUAGUUGGGUUAACACUGCAGGAUUUACGAUCAAUUGUGUUACCCGCUCAGUCGGUGUCGCAAUAACCGGUUAACUGGAUCUCGAGCUUCAACGUGCAGUCUUUAGUGUAGAUUAGGUACCGUGCAAUUGACUACCGACAAUCAGCUAAUCUUAUGACCUAGUACACCUUCGCUCGCUACUCUGCCAUCCAGACAACAGCUCGUUGCAACGUAGAGCUGCAACCCAAUCAGGCUACACAAACUACCUAGGAAUCAUCUACCUACGUAGAUAUGAAGGUAGAUCCACCCUCUAAUCUGCCACGUGUCCUAUUUGCACUGUCCGAAUUCCAGGUCUUGAAAAUACUGGUUAUGGUGUAGUGCCAAACUAUGGUCGCCUGUUCGAGCCUGUUGAUAUUCUUUAUUAAUCAACAUACUUGCUCUUCUCUUAAUUUUUCAAUGAAGCCCGAUAUUAUUCGCACCUAAAUCGUUUCACAGCGUACCGUAAAUAUAUACGGUUUUUACAUCUAAUUGUUUCACCGACAUAUUCUUGUUUCAAGUUACAAUCAAAAGCGUCCGGUGCGUGGACUGCAUAGCGGCCGAAGCAAUGGUCUUCUCGUAGUCAGACUCGGAACGCUGGGUGAACCAUGUCCACGAGUCUAGCCUUGAACCGUUCCAUGUUCCCCUUGCCGUUUUGUUUGAUGAGGAAGACCCAUUUAUCCCCAGCAAUGUUAACAGGUUGCAUUCACAAGCUUCCACGUGUUAUUCGAGAUCAAGAAACUGUAUUCUUCUUCCAUCGCACGAAUUCACUCCUCUUUUCUAACACAACUGAGCGGUACGUUACUGGUUCAUCUUGGUCUAUGGCAAUCAGUUCAUCUCCUUUUUCUCUUUAUCAAAUCAGAAAGCUGCCUACGUCGAUCUUGUCGGGACCUGAUUCUGGAGAUGGGGAACUAUCAGUGCGGUUUUUAUUCACAGUACUUUUCUUUCAAUCCUGCUCCCUGCAACUUAAACAUUGCCAUCUCUUUUAACGGAUUCACGAUUUUUCCUCUCCUGCAGCCCAUUUUGUUAGGUAAACAACCUUCCUCGGAAACGGUGUGCGAGCAAUUUUUUUUUGUCCACUCCAUAGUUGACGAGCUUCAUCCCUUCCGCAUAACCGUUCACGUGAAUUGUUUUGACAAUUGCGUUGGAAAUUGGAAGAAUGAGGAGGUUAACCGUAAACCCUCGCUUAAUCUGUAGUGCAUAACCUGUGCAGACUGCUGUAAAGAAUCACUAUCACCGAAACAACAACGGAUCGAUUCCGGACCUCGCAGCGAUUGUCGUCGAAAACUACAUAUUUGUGAGGGUAAUCAUCGAGAUCAAUCCCCUGAUGAAACGGGUCAAACAGAACCUCACUUAGCACGAUGUCGACAGUUCAGGAAGACGCCGAUAAUGAAGUCAAGUUUUAUUUUAACGAUUCUGGCAACUUCCGCCUUCUCUCCAUCAGCCAAAAGGACACUCACUCCUGUGGAUUGCUCAAACGUAAAAAAAACAGUCUAUCGUCUGUUAUAUACCGUGACGCUGACGCAACAGUAUUCACGAGAAAACCGCCUGCUGUCCAUGUUUCGACCACCUAGGCUAACGGGCCUGCCUCUACGUGUUGCUUUGACUUCGCUGUGUUCCUUCAGCUGGUCGCUUCUUUCCUUCUUGUUGGAUCUGGACGGGUUGCCUCACUAUAAGCUUCAGCUUCAGUUUCGCUUGAGAUGCCUGGGCUCUUUAUAGUGGUAGCAAACACGAAUUUCUUUCGGUCCAACACCAGAAUCACUUCCGGACGUAGUUUCACUUCCAUCUCGUACAAAAUUAAUCUGCAGUGCAUUUUCUCCUGAUACUGCACUAGUAACUGCUCUCUCCCGACGUGACGUUUCUCUGCCUCGGUAAGCAACUUUGAUUCAUUAAGGUUUAAUGAUAGUUCGUUUCUAAGUCCUUGCUCCAAAGCUGUGGCAAUCCAAAAGAAUCAAGCAACAAGCUCAACAACAUCGCCACCAGCUAUUCAUCCGGAAUCGGUACUACAGUAUCGGCAAUGUGCUGCAACAAAUCGGUGAAUGUUGAAGGUGCUGCUCCAUGUCACCGACCUCCAGCAGCUCCAACCGGACCUCUAAACCAUUAUCAUGGUAGUCCUUGAGCACCGUCCAAACAGCUUUCGCAGAGACACAAUUCUGAAUCAUAGUCGUCUGAUUGUCAUCGAGGCUUAGACCGAUGGUGACACGACUCUUCGUGUCAGCCUUCGGCUACUCUGGCAUCACGAGAUUCGGGGCAGGACCGGAAAUCAGAUUCUACAGCUCAUCGCGAAUGAGCGUCAUAGGCAGCUGAGGACCUGCCCCAGAGAUGUAAAACCCCUUAAAUCCAAGUGAGUUUCCGGCUAAAGGGGGAUGGAAACGAUAGAUCGGUUCGUUACAAAACUCGACUUGUGGCAAAAAGAAUCCUUAAAUUCUAAAGCAAGGACAAGACUACAAAGAGACCUAAGCACCGGGAGCUCGGUUGGCUACUAUAACGAUCGUUUUGGCAGUUGGCUUGGCGUUCAUCAACAAUUCUGUUUCCAUUAAAUAGAUAUCCGUACAGCAGCGUUCUCCGAGGCCAUUUGAAGGAAACGUUCUUCAUGAAGGUUCCGGAUUAUAUCUUACUGCAAAAUAUUUAACUUAUAGACACAAAAUUUAUCACAGCAUGAUUUAUCCUCAGCAAAUUCAUCAGGAUUUAUUGUUCCCGUAAAACCUUUUCCCCCGUGAAAUCAAUGUUCGUGGCUUUCAGUUUUGCCUUAUCUGCCAAUGAGGCCAUCAGUUUCCAGCCCCGCGGACUACAAACUCACAAUUAAUUAUCGAACAAUCAACUGCAGUCCCACAUCAGGGCCCCUUUUUGCUAACUCCCUCAAUCAAUGCUACUAACUCCCGCCGGUGCAGCAUCCGGAUCAUGUCCGACCAAAAAGCGCAACUUCCUCCUCCAUUUACUUCCUCUAAUUAACCGAGAGUGUUUCUCGGUAGGUCGACGCAGCAGAAAUGCAUCCUUGGGCGGGGUAUUUUUUCUAUCUUCCAAUCCUCUGGUUUACAUCCUCCGGCUGUGAAAAGAUAACUUUGCCCACCACUCGGGGAUGAUAUACCUAGGAGGAAACGAUCAUGGUUCACCGAUGCAAUCCUAAUGGAAAAUUGUGCUACUGACACUUGGGCAGCCAGCCACACCACCACACGAAAGCCGGGUCAGAUUGAGCGUUGCCCGGGGAUAAUUAGGGAUAAUCUAGUGGUUUCCUCCGAGCCGCCGCAACGAGCAGCGGCUAACAGACUAAGUACCGGGGGCUGGGGAAGCUUAGCAGUGGUGAUGAUGUUGUUCCAGUUGGUGUGAGCCACGGCCCGGAUUGGCAAUGUUUCCUGCAAAAGAAGGAGAAAAGGAAAACACGAAAUUGAGAUGUAUUACCUUUACUGUAAAGAUAUGAAGCAAGGCGUGCGAGCUUUUAAUCUUGUUUUCCGAGGGGACCUUCUGGUUGUUCGUGCGGUGCAAUUAGUAAAACACCUCUAUCUGCGAGACUGGUGGGGAGCAAACAUUUCCGGAUGCAAGCGAGCGGAUUUCCAGGUAAGUGCUCGAAUGAAAUUGAAAUUCGGAUGAAAAUGUUUGUUGCAGCUUACCCUACAUUCAAGCCAUGCCAAAACAUGCUAGAGGGGCUGCAAGUUCAUUAGAAAACGAAAACGCAAUUCAUGUUGGCCUCUGGCUUGUUGUGAUAAAAUGUGGUAUCCACAGUUUGCUAUCCAUUAUAUGGAAAUGACGAGUUUUUGAAUAAUUCAUUACUUGUGUGGGCAUUGAAAAGC